GAGUUUGAUCGUGGCUCAGAUUGAACGCUGGCGGCGUGCCUAACACAUGCAAGUCGAGCGGUAACAGGUGUAGCAAUACAUGCUGACGAGCGGCGGACGGGUGAGCAAUAUUUGGGAAUCUGCCUAUUAGUGGGGGACAACCCGGGGAAACCCGGGCUAAUACCGCAUACGCACUACGGUGGAAAGCCGGGGACCGCAAGGCCUGGCGCUAAUAGAUGAGCCCAAAUCGGAUUAGCUAGUUGGUGAGGUAAUGGCUCACCAAGGCUACGAUCCGUAGCUGGUCUGAGAGGACGACCAGCCACACCGGAACUGAGACACGGUCCGGACUCCUACGGGAGGCAGCAGUGGGGAAUAUUGGACAAUGGGCGAAAGCCUGAUCCAGCGACGCCGCGUGGGUGAAGAAGGCCUGCGGGUUGUAAAGCCCUUUCGGUGGGGAAGAAAAGCCUCGACCUAACACGUCGGGGUCUUGACGUAACCCAUAGAAGAAGCACCGGCUAACUCUGUGCCAGCCGCCGCUGUAAG
rnacentral:rRNA from 1 species